rnacentral:rRNA from 1 species
GUAGGUGGCAAGCGUUGUCCGGAAUUAUUGGGGCGUAGAGCGCGCGCAGGCGGUUCUUUAAGUCUGAUGUGAAAGCCCACGGGCUCAACCGUGGAGGGUCAUUGGAAACUGGAGAACUUGAGUACAGAAGAGGAAAGCGGAAUUCCACGUGUAGCGGUGAAAUGCGUAGAGAUGUGGAGGAACACCAGUGGCGAAGGCGGCUUUCUGGUCUGUAACUGACGCUGAGGCGCGAAAGCGUGGGGAGCAAACAGGAUUAGAUACCCUGGUAGUCCACGCCGUAAACGAUGAGUGCUAAGUGUUAGGGGGUUUCCGCCCCUUAGUGCUGCAGCUAACGCAUUAAGCACUCCGCCUGGGGAGUACGGCCGCAAAGGCUG